rnacentral:rRNA from 1 species
UCCUACGGGGGGCAGCAGUCGGGAAUAUUGCGCAAUGGAGGAAACUCUGACGCAGUGACGCCGCGUAUAGGAAGAAGGUUUUCGGAUUGUAAACUAUUGUCGUUAGGGAAGAGAAAGGACAGUACCUAAGGAGGAAGCUCCGGCUAACUACGUGCCAGCAGCCGCGGUAAUACGUAGGGAGCAAGCGUUAUCCGGAUUUACUGGGUGUAAAGGGCGCGUAGGCGGGAUGGCAAGUCAGAUGUGAAAUCCGGGGGUCAACCCCUGAACU